CUCCCCCCCGGUUUUCUACUCCACAAGCCAUCUUCAUGUACUGCACAGUAAUCCAUUACAAUAUGUUCCAACAUCUGCCUCCCCAUAUGAUGUAUGACCUAUUCGAUUGACCCUUUUUAUGCCGCUCCAGACUUGCUGUUCAUUACGAAGGGAGGACGAACACUCUGCAUCUAUCCCUGAGGUCACCAACCAAUAAAUACAUCUCCAUUUGGCAAGGCUUAGGGUUAAAGGGAGAGGGAGAGAAGGAACUCAAGUCUUUUAACCUGCAAGAAAAUUCACUCAAGCAGACAGAAGUCUGACAGCAAACAGCCCACCAGGGUUGUGACUGAAAUGCGAAGAAGUUGAUCAUUUUCACCCUGUAUGGAAAUUGCUAUGAUCUAAAGGUAAACUGAGUAGUAGCAUAUUUGGCAAAGAGAAACAUUUAAAAGCAUUGCUCCUUAUAGAUAAUUCCUUCCAUAACAUCUAACAAGAUCUAGAUUGGUUCUAGAUCUUUCCAUAAGGUUAUUUUAAAAAUUAUUUUUCUGUGUGUUUCUUUGGUCAGAAACACAUGCUCAGGAUAUGAAGUAUUUAUCUGUGUCCUGUCAUAAUUACUGACCUUUUUCAGACUGGAAGGAAUCUGAUACAAAGAUGAACUCAGUUUUUUAUCUACAUAUAUCUACCUUGAUGUUAUUCACUCAGAAGCUUAAGCCAUUUCCACUGUGAUUUCUAUAGACCUUUGACAGCUAUGAAAAACAGAAUGAUUUCAGUUGAUAUCUUGUAUGAUUCAUUCUCUCAAUAUGAUCACGUC
rnacentral:lncRNA from 1 species